rnacentral:rRNA from 1 species
AUUGAACGCUGGCGGCAGGCCUAACACAUGCAAGUCGAACGAGUGGCGGACGGGUGAGUAAUGUUUGGGAAACUGCCUGAUGGAGGGGGACAACUACUGGAAACGGUAGCUAAUACCGCAUACCUUUGGAUGUGCUCUGAUGGGAUUAGGUAGUUGGUGGGGUAAAGGCCAACCUAGGGGACGAUCCCUAGCUGGUCUGAGAGGAUGACCGGCCACACUGGAACUGAGACACGGUCCAGAAUCCUACGGGAGGCAGCAGUGGGGAAUAUUGCACAAUGGACGCAAGCCUGAUGCAGCCAUGCCGCGUGUGUGAAGAAGGCCUUCGGGUUGUAAAGUACUUUCAGCUGGGAGGCGUUACCCGCAGAAGAAGCACCGGCUAACUCCGUGCCAGCAGCCGCGGUAAUUC